GAUUCCAAGAACCAUAGGACACACAACCAGUCCCACAAAUGGCACAGAAGUGGCAUCAAGAGACUCUGGUCUCAAAGAUACAAAUCUCUUAAGGGGUUAACUCCAAGUUCCUAAGGUUGCCAAGAAGAGCAAGGAAAGGCCUGAAGAAGAUGCAGGCCAACAAUGCAAAGGCAGUGAGUGCGCGCGCAGAGGCCAUCAAGGCCCUGGUGAAGCCUCAGGCCAUCAAGCCCAAGAUGCCAAAGGACCCAGGCACAGACUCAGCGGGCUGGCUUUCAUCACUCACCCCAGGCUUGGGAAGAAGGUUCGAAGCUACAUGGCCAAGGGUCAAAGGCUCUGCCAACCAAAGCCCAAGGUUCGAACCAAGGCAGAGGCCACACAGCUCCAACUAAGGCCCAGGCUUCAGCUCCAGCCCAGGCUCGCAAAGGUGCGCAGGCCCCUGUGAAGGUCCCAUGGAAAAGGCUCCU
rnacentral:lncRNA from 1 species